GAUGAACGCUGGCGGCGUGCCUAAUACAUGCAAGUCGAGCGCACGGACGAGAAGCUUGCUUCUCUGAUGUUAGCGGCGGACGGGUGAGUAACACGUGGAUAACCUACCUAUAAGACUGGGAUAACUUCGGGAAACCGGAGCUAAUACCGGAUGAUAUUUUGAACCGCAUGGUUCAAGAGUGAAAGACGGUCUUGCUGUAACUUAUAGAUGGAUCCGCGUUUCAUUAGCUAGUUGGUAAGGUAACGGCUUACAAAGGCAACGAUGCAUAGCCGACCUGAGAGGGUGAUCGGCCACACUGGAACUGAGACACGGUCCAGACUCCUACGGGAGGCAGCAGUAGGGAAUCUUCCGCAAGGGGCGAAAGCCUGACGGAGCAACGCCGCGGGAGUGAUGAAGGUCUUCGGAUCGUAAAACUCUGUUAUUAGGGAAGAACAUAUGUGUAAGUAACUGUGCACAUCUUGACGGUACCUAAUCAGAAAGCCACGGCUAACUACGUG
rnacentral:rRNA from 1 species